UACGUAGGGCGCAAGCGUUAUCCGGAAUUAUUGGGCGUAAAGAGCUCGUAGGCGGUUUGUCGCGUCUGCCGUGAAAGUCCGGGGCUCAACUCCGGAUCUGCGGUGGGUACGGGCAGACUAGAGUGAUGUAGGGGAGACUGGAAUUCCUGGUGUAGCGGUGAAAUGCGCAGAUAUCAGGAGGAACACCGAUGGCGAAGGCAGGUCUCUGGGCAUUAACUGACGCUAAGGAGCGAAAGCAUGGGGAGCGAACAGG
rnacentral:rRNA from 1 species